rnacentral:sRNA from 1 species
AAAAACGUAAAUAUACGGUUAUUCCUAAAAAAAAAGAAUGUGAUUACUGAUGCAGUAAUUAUUUUCAGAUUAUGCUCAGCACCCGCAUUCUCAUAUUAUUGGCUGCAAGAAGAAUCAUCUGAUAAAAAAAUACCGGCAUCUCGCCGGUAUUUUCUAAUGAU